rnacentral:rRNA from 1 species
GACGAACGCUGGCGGCGUGCCUAAUACAUGCAAGUAGGACGCAGUUGCGAACGGGUGAGUAACGCGUAGGUAACUACCUAUUCGAGGGGGAUAAAUAUUGGAAACGAUAGCUAAUACCGCAUACUAGUAGAUGGACCUGCGUUGUAUUAGCUAUUAGGUAUGACAAUGUCCUACCUAGGCAACGAUACAUAUCCGACCUGAUAGUGGGAUCGGCCACACUGGAACUGGAACACGGCCAAGACUCCUACGGGAGGAAGCAGUAGGGAAUCUUCGUCAAUGGGGGGAACCCUGACCGAGAAACGCCGGGUGAGUGAAGAAGGUUUUCGGAUCGUAAAGCGCUGUUGUUAAGGAAGCGGUACUUAACCAGAAAGGGACGGCUAACUACGUGCCAGCAGCCGCGGUAAUAC